rnacentral:misc_RNA from 1 species
UCCGGUUUAACACCGGCAGUCCCUUCAGAGUGGUCAACUUAAUGUACCAACUAAAGGCAAGGGUUGCGCUCGUUGCGGGACUUAACCCAACAUUUCACAACACGAGCUGACGACAGCCAUGCAGCACCUGUCUCCACGUCCCCGAAGGGAAAAUAACAUCUCUGCUAUCGUCGUGGGAUGUCAAACCCAGGUAAGGUUCUGAGCGUUGCUUCGAAUUAAACCACAUACUCCACCGCUUGUGCGGGCCCCCGUCAGUUCCUUUGAGUUUUAGUCUUGCGACCGUACUCCCCAGGCGGGAUACUUAAUGCGUGUGCUCCGAUACUCAGAGGGUUAAUUCUCCAAACAUCUAGUAUCCAUCGUUUACGGCGUGGACUAC